rnacentral:rRNA from 1 species
UACGGGGGGAGCAAGCGUUGUUCGGAUUUACUGGGCGUAAAGGGCGCGUAGGCGGUCGGCACAGGUCAGUUGUGAAAUCUCCGGGCUUAACUCGGAAAGGUCAACUGAUACUGUGCGACUAGAGUGCGGAAGGGGCAACUGGAAUUCUCGGUGUAGCGGUGAAAUGCGUAGAUAUCGAGAGGAACACCUGCGGCGAAGGCGGGUUGCUGGGCCGACACUGACGCUGAUGCGCGAAAGCCAGGGGAGCGAACGGG